rnacentral:rRNA from 1 species
UACGUAGGCAGCAAGCGUUGUUCGGAGUUACUGGGCGUAAAGAGUGUGUAGGCGGUUCUCUAAGUUCGGUGUGAAAUCUCCCGGCUCAACUGGGAGGGUGCGCCGAAAACUGGAGGGCUUGAGUAUGGGAGAGGAAAGCGGAAUUCCUGGUGUAGCGGUGAAAUGCGUAGAUAUCAGGAGGAACACCUGCGGUGUAGACAGCUUUCUGGACCAUCACUGACGCUGAGACACGAAAGCGUGGGUAGCAAACAGG